CUGAUGGCGAGUGGCGAACGGGUGAGUAAUGCAUCGGAACGUGCCCAAUCGUGGGGGAUAACGCAGCGAAAGCUGUGCUAAUACCGCAUACGAUCUAUGGAUGAAAGCGGGGGACCUUCGGGCCUCGCGCGAUUGGAGCGGCCGAUGUUAGAUUAGGUAGUUGGUGGGGUAAAGGCUCACCAAGCCGACGAUCUAUAGCUGGUCUGAGAGGACGACCAGCCACACUGGAACUGAGACACGGUCCAGACUCCUACGGGAGGCAGCAGUGGGGAAUUUUGGACAAUGGGCGCAAGCCUGAUCCAGCAAUACCGCGUGCAGGAAGAAGGCCUUCGGGUUGUAAACUGCUUUUGUACGGAACGAAAAGGCUCUUUCUAAUAAAGAGGGCUCAUGACGGUACCGUAAGAAUAAGCACCGGCUAACUACGUGCCAGCAGCCGCGGUAAUACGUAGGGUGCGAGCGUUAAUCGGAAUUACUGGGCGUAAAGCGUGCGCAGGCGGUUUUGUAAGACAGGCGUGAAAUCCCCGGGCUCAACCUGGGAAUUGCGUUUGUGACUGCAAGGCUAGAGUACGGUAGAGGGGGGUAGAAUUCCGCGUGUAGCAGUGAAAUGCGUAGAUAUGCGGAGGAACACCGAUGGCGAAGGCAGCCCCCUGGACCUGUACUGACGCUCAUGCACGAAAGCGUGGGGAGCAAACAGGAUUAGAUACCCUGGUAG
rnacentral:rRNA from 1 species